UAUUAGGUUUCUGAUGAGGAGUUAAU
rnacentral:piRNA from 1 species